rnacentral:rRNA from 1 species
AGAGUUUGAUCCUGGCUCAGGAUGAACGCUAGCUACAGGCUUAACACAUGCAAGUCGAGGGGUAGCAGGGUAGCAAUACCGCUGACGACCGGCGCACGGGUGAGUAACACGUAUCCAACCUACCGUCUACUCGGGGAUAGCCUUUCGAAAGAAAGAUUAAUACCCGAUAGUAUAAAGAGUUCGCAUGUUCUCUUUAUUAAAGGAUUCCGGUAAACGAUGGGGAUGCGUUCCAUUAGAUUGUUGGCGGGGUAACGGCCCACCAAGUCUUCGAUGGAUAGGGGUUCUGAGAGGAAGGUCCCCCACAUUGGAACUGAGACACGGUCCAAACUCCUACGGGAGGCAGCAGUGAGGAAUAUUGGUCAAUGGGCGCUAGCCUGAACCAGCCAAGUAGCGUGAAGGAUGACUGCCCUAUGGGUUGUAAACUUCUUUUAUAAGGGAAUAAAACGGGGAACGUGUUCCCCUUGCAUUACCUACGAAUA